GACGAACGCUGGCGGCGUGCUUAACACAUGCAAGUCGAACGGACAGGCCUCUUUCUUGGUGUACUCGAGUGUCCAACGGAUGAGUAACUCGUGAGUAACCUGCCCAUGUCUUUGGGAUAACUUACUUAAACUUAGGGUAAUUCCGGACAGGAGCUCCUUUUGCAUGGAUGGUGUUAGACAGUUUAGGCGGUUUGGGGUGGAUUCUCUGCUUAUCAGCUUGUUGGUAGGUUAGUGGCUUACGAAGGCUUUGACGGGUCGCCGGCAUGAGAGGGUCAACGGCCACAUUGGGCCUGCGAUACGGACCAGAAUCCUACGGGAGGCAGCAGUGGGGAAAAUUGCGGAACGGGUGGAAGCGUGAUGUAGAAACGCCGUGUGCGGGAUGAGGGGCUACGCGUUGAAAACCGCUUUGGCCUGUGACGAAGAGUGAGUGACGGUAAUGAGUAAAGAAGCCACGGCUAACUACGUG
rnacentral:rRNA from 1 species